GGAUGUUUCAGCUCCUUCCUCACUUCCACCACAAUGCAGCACCAUGCCUCCUCCAGGGGCCUCUCAACAAGUGUUCUCCUUUAGGGCUGGCAUGCAUGUGCCCAACUUGCUCACUGAACAGACUACCUUGGCCUGCUCAGCUACUCACCCUUGACACCUUCAUCAAGCACUGGUGCUCUGCUCAGCCCAGGGUCCCACAGCUCCUGUGUCCACACUCUCAUAGAACCUAAGCCAGAAGCAGGAACCUUCUGCAUAACCACGAAUCCUCAGGUGAUUCCUUUUGAGAAUUCUGGGGGAUGGACAGAGGAAACGAAAGCAAAUUUCCACAACCAAAGAGGGUAAAUAUUAUAGGCAUCUGGAGCACCUUUGGAAGCUGGUGAAGGAGAUAUACCAGAGUGUGGGUGGUUUCUAGCACCUUCAUAUCAGUCCAUGUCGGCUGCUGCUAGAAGCUGGCACUGUGUUCAAAUUAUAAAUCACCCAAUAAACCACGACAAAGGAAAACAUUGGCAAGCCACCUCCAGCUGGGUGAUGAAGGCUUUAUGAAGAGAAGAUUCUUACCUGUGCUUAAGGAAUAUGGGAGCGUCUUUCAGAAAACUGGAGGGAACGCCAUCCCUGGACACAACUGGAUUUGUCUGCCAUGUGUUGGCAUGCCUGGGGGCCUUUCACCUCGGGGUUCCAUGAUUUGGGACAGAUUUCAUGGUGGGCUCUGUUGAAUAGGAAAUAUACUGUUGGAAAUAAGACAGGACAGAAGCCUUCCAGCUCCAUCAUUCUGAGCUUUUCCUAGGUUCACACUGGGUUUUUUGAGCUCCCAAAUGCUGUAUCACAGUGAACUCAUAUGGAAAGGCAAACCUUCUUAUCCUGAACUGUAUGGGUCAAAUACUUCCUUCAAGGCAGACUCAAAUGCUGGGAGGAUCCCUCCCUCCUCUCUUCCUCUCCAAUUUCGGCCUCCUGACGUCAGUGAAGCUUUUACUGGCCUAGACACUUUGGCCUUGGGCCCAGAAAGCAUCAUUGUGGACAGCCCAGACCUGAGGCUGAUGGCCCAGAUAAUUGGACAAUCUGGGCCCAGAUACCAGUUUCCAAAACCAAAGAGAUUUCUGUGUUGCGUGACCUAUCAUUUAAGCCAGACAGAAAAGCUUUGACAUUUCUUCUCCAUUCCCUCUUUUUAAACAAUGUAAAAUGCUGUUCCACAUCUAAUUGUACUGGAGAAAUGUGACAACUAUAAUUUUAGGCCUCAAAUGCCCACAAACAGUUUUGUAAAUCUUACAGACUCUAUUCAUCAAUAAAUUGUG
rnacentral:lncRNA from 1 species